GGACUACCCGGGUAUCUAAUCCCGUUCGCUCCCCAUGCUGUCGUGUCUGAGCGUCAGUUGCGAGCCAGGGCGCCGCCUUCGCCUCUGGGGUUCCUCCGGAUCUCUACGCAUUUCACCACUACACCCGGAAUUCCACGCCCCUCUCUCGCACUCCAGAGUGUCAGUCUGGCAUAACACAGCCCGGUUAAGCCGGGCGAUUUCAUACACCACUUGACACCCCGCCUGCACACCCUUUACGCCCAGUAAAUCCGGAUAACGCUCGCCACCUACGUUUUACCGCGGCUGCUGGCAC
rnacentral:rRNA from 1 species